rnacentral:rRNA from 1 species
GACAGAGGGUGCAAACGUUGUUCGGAAUUACUGGGCGUAAAGCGUGUGUAGGCUGCCCUGCAAGUCGGAUGUGAAAGCCCUGGGCUCAACCUGGGAAGUGCAUUCGAAACUGCGGGGCUGGAGUCCUGGAGAGGAAGGCGGAAUUCUCGGUGUAGAGGUGAAAUGUGUUGAGAUUGGAAGGAACGCCAGUGGCGAAAGCGGCAUGCUGGAUCUCUACUGACGCUGAGGCGCGAAAGCUAGGGGAGCGAACGGG